UUGCAUCUUUAAAAACCCCCCAGUUGCCAUAUGUGGCCUCUGGCACAAGAAAAGGUGCAAGAUCAAUCUUAGAACAUCCAAAACUGAGAGCCACUUGUCACGCUCCAGGUUAUUUCACCUCUAAGACACAA